rnacentral:rRNA from 1 species
CCUCCCUCCCUCGUCUUGACGGACGGCCCUCCCGCCACCGACACCACUCCUCUCUCCCCCGGUCGGCGCGCGCGGUUGCCACUUCGCUUUCAUCCCCACUCCCAUUUUUAUCUCCUCACCAGAUCCCCGCCACCAGCUACCGCAUUCCCCAAAGAUCCAGAUCGCACCAAACGGAGGCAGUCCAGAUCGAGCUCCCGAGCUCCCGGGAAGAAGCGAGAUCCAGAUCGAGCUGAGCUGCUCUGCUUGGGCCGCCGGAGCUGAGCUGAGCUGCUCUGACCGCCGGAGCGGAAGAGCAAGAAGAUGAAGCGGAAGACGCGGAACAAGAUCGUGGUGACGGUGCUGCUGCUGGGGGCGGCGGCGGUGCUGAUCGGCGGCACGCUGGCGCUGAUCCUGACGGCGGGCACCUGGAAGGUGAAGCUCAAGGAGUCGCAGGAGAAGGUGUGCAACAAGGGGUGGGAGUGCUCCGGCACCAAGUACUGCUGCAACCAGACCAUCACCGACUUCUUCAAGGUGUACCAGUUCGAGAACCUCUUCGCCAAGCGCAACUUCCCCGUCGCCAAGGCCGUCGGCUUCUGGGACUACCAGGCCUUCAUCACCGCCGCCUCGCUCUUCGAGAACCAGGGCUUCUGCACCACCGGCGGCAUCGACAUGCAGAUGAUGGAGCUCUGCGCCUUCCUCGGACACGUCGGCGCCAAGACCUCAUGUGGAUACGGCGUGGCCACCGGCGGUCCGACGGCGUGGGGGCUGUGCUACAACCACGAGAUGAGCCCCGACCAGGGCUACUGCGACGACUCCUACACGCAGUGGCCCUGCGUCAAGGGCGCCGAGUACUACGGCCGCGGCGCCAUCCCCGUCUACUGGAACUUCAACUACGGCGCGGCGGGGGACGGGCUGAAGGUGGACCUGCUGCACCACCCGGAGCUGCUGGAGCAGAACGCGACGCUGGCGUUCGCGGCGGCCAUGUGGCGGUGGAUGACGCCCAUCAAGAAGAAGCAGCCGUCGGCGCACGAGGCCUUCACGGGGGUGUGGAAGCCCACCAAGAACGACACGCUCAGCAAGCGCCUCCCGGGCUUCGGCGCCACCAUGAACCUCCUCUACGGCGAGUCCAUCUGCGGCAGGGGCUUCAUCGACGAGAUGAACGUCAUCAUCUCCCACUACCAGUACUACCUCGACCUCAUGGGCUUCGGCCGGGAGCGGUCCGGCCUCAACCUCGACUGCGCCGAGCAGGCCCCCUUCAACCCCGCCCCCAAGAAGGACGACGAGCAGCAGCCCACCGGAGGCCAGAAGCCGUCGGGCUAGCACGCACCAUGUUGUUGUUGUAUACAUGUUCAGAUAUUCUUGCCACGCACCAUUGCCUGCUCUGCUCCCCGAGCUAUGCUGAGUUGCUGAUACAUACUUCAGUGUGUGAGCUUUGGUGCCAUUUUGGGUAGGGCUCUGUAUGUGAAUUGGGGAAGCUGUAGCCUGUGUGUGUACCACGGUGUCCAUUUUCAGUUGUUUUGUUUCAUUUUUUUGUGUCACACAAUGUCUAAAGAGGAGAAUUCGAACUGAACAUAGGCAACAUAUCCU